AACCUUGAAACAUACUUACCUGGACGGGGUCUAUGGCUGAUCAAGAAGAGACAUGGCCUAGGCAAGUGGCCCAUAUUGCACUUUGUGGGUGUGCUGGCUUACCAUCUCCUCUUUGAGGGAGAGUGGACGUCAUAA
rnacentral:rRNA from 1 species